CUUCCGUGUUUGCGUCCGUGUCCUGCGUGUCUUGCCUAUCUCGCAGACUCGAGUGGUUUUUGGCUACAGUUUUGAGAUAAAUAAUCAUGUCUCUGGAGGUGGAAUCAGCAGACGUGAUCCGUCUGAUUAUGCAGUACUUAAAGGAAAAUAACCUGCAGCGGACAUUAGCCACCCUGCAGGAGGAGACCACCGUGUCCCUGAACACUGUGGACAGUAUAGAGAGCUUUGUGGCGGACAUAAACAGCGGCCACUGGGACACUGUCCUGCAAGCCAUCCAGUCCCUCAAGCUGCCAGACAAGACCCUGAUAGACCUUUAUGAACAGGUGGUGUUAGAGCUGAUCGAGUUGAGAGAGUUGGGUGCAGCCCGUUCCCUCCUCAGGCAGACAGACCCCAUGAUCAUGCUGAAACAGACCCAGCCAGAGAGAUACAUCCACCUGGAGAACCUGUUGGCUCGCUCGUACUUCGAUCCCAGAGAAGCAUAUCCAGACGGCAGCAGCAAGGAGAAGCGCCGGGCAGCCAUCGCCCAGGCUCUGGCUGGAGAGGUCAGCGUGGUGCCGCCCUCUCGUCUCAUGGCUCUGCUGGGACAGUCUCUGAAGUGGCAGCAGCAUCAGGGCCUCCUGCCUCCUGGUAUGACUAUCGAUUUGUUCAGGGGUAAAGCAGCCGUUAAAGAUGUGGAGGAGGAGCGCUUCCCCACCCAGCUCAGCAGACACAUCAAGUUUGGACAGAAGUCUCAUGUGGAGUGUUCCCGAUUCUCCCCUGAUGGUCAGUACCUGGUCACUGGCUCUGUGGACGGCUUCAUCGAGGUGUGGAACUUCACCACUGGCAAAAUCAGAAAGGAUCUGAAGUACCAGGCUCAGGAUAACUUCAUGAUGAUGGACGAUGCAGUGUUGUGUAUGGGCUUCAGUAGAGACACAGAGAUGUUGGCCACCGGAGCUCAGGAUGGAAAGAUCAAGGUGUGGAAGAUCCAGAGCGGCCAGUGUCUGAGGAGGUUUGAGCGCGCCCACAGUAAAGGAGUAACAUGCAUCAGUUUCUGUAAAGACAGCAGCCAGCUCCUCAGUGCCUCCUUCGACCAGACAAUCAGAAUCCACGGGCUGAAGUCUGGCAAAACUCUAAAGGAGUUCCGCGGUCACUCGUCAUUUGUGAACGAGGCCACCUUCACUCCAGACGGUCACCACGUCAUCAGCGCUUCUUCAGACGGUACAGUCAAGAUGUGGAACAUGAAGACCACCGAGUGCACCAACACCUUCAAGCCUCUGGGCACGUCGGCCGGCACUGACAUCACAGUCAACAACGUCAUCCAGCUGCCCAAGAACCCGGAGCACUUUGUCGUGUGUAACCGCUCCAACACGGUGGUCAUCAUGAACAUGCAGGGACAGAUCGUGAGGAGUUUCAGCUCUGGUAAGAGGGAAGGUGGUGACUUUGUGUGCUGCACUCUGUCGCCCCGCGGCGAGUGGAUCUACUGCGUGGGUGAAGACUUUGUGCUCUACUGCUUCAGCACCGUCACCGGCAAGCUGGAGAGAACUCUGACGGUCCAUGAGAAGGAUGUGAUCGGCAUCGCCCACCACCCCCACCAGAACCUCAUCGCCACCUACAGUGAGGACGGUCUGCUGAAGCUAUGGAAGCCUUGAGGUGUUUGACGCCAAACUGAGACUGGACGUUGUCACACAGCAGCUGCUCUCUUCACUCUGGACACUGCUCUACCCGCUCUGUUUCAGAUCACUGUGAACUCAAGGACUUGUUAUACAUGUGGACGAUCUCAGUAACAGCAUACGUUUAAAUAUUCAGCUGCAUGUUUCAGUUUGUGCAGGUGAUUUACCUUUUUACCACUGAGGCCAUGCAGCUGGAUAUUAGUUACCAAAGGCAGAGUGUUUGCACAGCAGAGCCCUUUUUAUCUGAAACUGUUUCAGUUUGUCCAAAAGAAAUGGUGACAUCUUACAAAGCAAUAUAAGUUUGCUUUACUUUUAUUCAGUUGAUGAAUUUGUAUGGGAGUGAAUGUGUCAUGUUGUUUCAGUGAUUCAAAAUAUCCAUAAUUCAGUUUCAGUUGCAGGUGAAAUAAAAAAGGUUCUGCUGUUCAGCACCUGACCUUGACAGACAAAUGUCUUUUUGGAGAGAGGAGGGGAGUUGUCAGAUGUAGAUACUAGACUCUGUUUCGUUUUUAAAAUUCCUCUUUUUUUGUAAAUAUAUUUUUUAUUUGCAUUUUGGAUUUUCCAAGAACACCUGGUUAAAUAAUGUUUUGUUGUUUGUGUCUCUUUUUCUUCUUCUCUCCCAGUUUGAAUUGAAUGGCAUCACUUCAAAUUCUUUUAUAUAUAUUUGUGCCCUGAAAUGAUUUAGUUCUUUCAGCAUGGAGAACCACAGAAUACAUUCAAUUUAAUAAAAAGUCAUUGUACGGCUUUUUCCCUACAUUAAGAACAUGCAUUGGAAUGAGACGUAAUAUUUCAAUGUACAAAUGUCAAUUGCUGAUAUUUUGUCUUUGCCAUUAAAGCUAUUUAACCAGAACACUGGAGAGAAGUGA